rnacentral:rRNA from 1 species
UACGUAGGGUGCGAGCGUUGUCCGGAAUUAUUGGGCGUAAAGAGCUCGUAGGCGGUUUGUCGCGUCUGCUGGUGAAAACUCCGAGGCUCAACCUCGGACUUGCAGUGGGUACGGGCAGACUGAGAGUGUGGUAGGGGAGACUGGAAUUCCUGGUGUAGCGGUGGAAUGACGCAGAUAGCAGGGAGGAACACCGGUGGGCGAAGGCGGG